CAAUUAGUUUUUUAAAAAACACUAAAUAGUCUCAAAAUGAGUAUAAAUUAUUUGUAAUUUCCUGUCAUCAGCUAUUCUAAUAAAAACUGAAUAUAACUUAGGAUUCUGUAGAAAACACUGAUGUCACUCAACUGUUAAACAACAUUUGGCCCUCUGUAGUGUUUCCGAGUUCCUCAGCGGAAAAAAAAUACACAAACGGCAGCAUAAAUCACCUUUGCGCCUUCUUUCAAAUUCCCCUGACUCUACAUGUAUAUUCCUUGACAGGAUUCUGCCUAUUCUACCAUCUGCAAACUUGAAUUUGAUGGAAAAAAAAAAAAGGGAAAAGUCUAUAUAUACUCUAGUGAGACAUAUGUAGGUUGCACCCCCAGCCUCCAUUUCUGCUUCCCUCUUAGUAAGGGCCACCCACAUUUCCAACUCUACAGAUCACCAAUCAGAGAUGUAAAUGUUAGGAAUCUUUCAAGGCCUGGGUUGAGGAUCUCUUCAGAGAGGUCUAGCUAUUGAUCCCAGGGUGCUAUCAGCCUGUGAUCAUUUGUUAUGUUCAUUUCCUAGUUUGCUGGGACACUAGUGGAAUUUUAAUUACACACCCAGACCAUGGGAAGUUCUACGUCUAUGCUUUGAAAGCCACAGCUCUUCAGUAUUCCACCAGGAUUCUGGACAAAGAACGGUUAAUCUGUGCCCGUUUGCAGACAGUCACCUGGGUUACUUUUCUCCGUUUCCUCUCUACUAACAGUAGCCUGGACAGUGAGUUCUGCAGUAAUGAGAUUUUCCUAGACAACCUGACUUGCUGGGUCUCUUCUUUAAAAAGAUGACAUCUAGAUUUAGAAAUGAGGGCAGCAUGUCAUUUCCUUGAAAAAGAAUAAGGAUCUGUACAGAGGUGCAACUGGGUGAUAACGCACAUAUUUCAAGAUAUAAUAUGUGUGUGUGAAUAUGCUUGACUAUUAGAACCAUAGUAUAAAAUAGUGAGAGGAAAUUAUAAAGAGAAUUUCUUUGGACUUGGUGUCAAGAGGUUCAUGUCCUGGCUCUAUAACUUAUAUCAUCCAUGUGACGUCAACACAUCUCAGUGCCAUGCAGGUGUGAAAUAACAAAGAAGCCAAACACUGGUGAAAGAAGUGAAAUUAAAAGAUUGAUUCAUCCAAAAAAGGUAAUAGUUAGACUUCUUCCCAUCGAGCUGACUGCAAUAUCUUCCCUUUACCUUCGGGUUCAAAACAUAGCCCUCUUUGAUGUCUCAUAAACAUUUCCUAAUAAUGUUCUCAAAUGAGAUAAAGGAUUAUAAAUGAAGUAAUGAGCCUCACCCAUGAGGAGAAUUGAAGAGCUCUUAAAGAAAAUCUGCUUCUGAAGAUACGGAUUCUAGAAUCAGGGAGUUGUCCCCAAUUCCCAGAAGUUCAAACCCAGUGAUUAGCACAGAAACCCAGAACGGAUAAAUGAUUUGUAGAAUGUCUCGGUUUUUGGUGAAAUUUCUUCAGAUGAAUAAAUGAUUAAAAU
rnacentral:lncRNA from 1 species